GAGGGCUUAGCUUAAUUAAAGUAAUUGAUUUGCGUUCAGUUGAUGCAAAAUAAAGUUUGCAGUCCUUA
rnacentral:tRNA from 1 species